rnacentral:rRNA from 1 species
AGAGUUUGUAUCCUGGCUCAGGACGAACGCUGGCGGCGUGCUUAACACAUGCAAGUCGAGCGGUAAGGCCCUUCGGGGUACACGAGCGGCGAACGGGUGAGUAACACGUGAGCAACCUGCCCCUGACUCUGGGAUAAGCGGUGGAAACGCCGUCUAAUACCGGAUACGACCGCCACCUCAUGGUGGAGGGUGGAAAGUUUUCGGUCAGGGAUGGGCUCGCGGCCUAUCAGCUUGUUGUGGGGUAACGGCCUACCAAGGCGAUUACGGGUAGCCGGCCUGAGAGGGCGACCGGCCACACUGGGACUGAGACACGGCCCAGACUCCUGCGGGAGGCAGCAGUGGGGAAUAUUGCGCAAUGGGCGAAAGCCUGACGCAGCGACGCCGCGUGGGGGAUGACGGCCUUCGGGUUGUAAACCUCUUUUACCACCAACGCAGGCUUCCAGUUCUCUGGGGGUUGACGGUAGGUGGGGAAUAAGGACUGGCUAACUACGUG